UUAACAAAAACAUGUCUUUUUGAUUAUAAUUUAAAGUCUAACCUGCCCAAUGAAUUAAAUUUUAAAUGGCUGCGGUAUACUGACCGUGCAAAGGUAGCAUAAUCAUUAGUUUUUUAAUUGAAAGCUGGAAUGAAAGGUUGGAUGAGAAAAUAACUGUCUCUAUUUAAAUUAAUUAGAAUUUUAUCUUUAAGUUAAAAAGCUUAAAUAAUAAUAAAAGACGAGAAGACCCUAUAGAGUUUUAUAUUUGUAUAAAUUUAAAUUUUUAGUAUUUUACGCUUUAAAUUUAUUUAAAUAUUUGGUUGGGGUGAUUGAAAAAUUAGAAAAACUUUUUUUUAAUUAUUACAUUGAUUUAUGAAUAUUUGAUCCUUUUUUUAAGAUUAUAAGAUUAAAUUACCUUAGGGAUAACAGCGUAAUUUUUUUUGAGAGUUCAAAUCGAAAAAAGAGAUUGCGACCUCGAUGUUGAUUUAAAA
rnacentral:rRNA from 1 species